rnacentral:lncRNA from 1 species
CCUAUGAGUGAGAACAUGUGGUGUUUGGUUUUCUGUCCUUGUGAUAGUUUGCUGACAAUGAUGGUUUCCAGCUUCAUCCAUGUCCCUGCUAAGGACAUGAACUCAUCCUUUUUUAUGGCUGCAUAGUAUUCCAUGGUAUAUAUGUCCCACAUUUUCUUUAUCCAGUCUAUCAUUGAUGGACAUUUGGGUUGGUUCCAAGUCUUUGCUAUUGUGAAUAGUGCCACAAUAAACAUACGGGUGCACGCUCUGUUCUGUUCCAUUGGUCUAUAUCUCUGUUUUGGUACCAGUACCAUGCUGUUUUGGUUACUGUAGCCUUGUAGUAUAGUUUGAAGUCAGGUAGUGUGAUGCCUCCAGCUUUGUUCUUUUUGCUUACUACACACUGCUUUAAAUGUGUCCCAGAGAUUCCGGUACAUUGUGUCUUUGUUCUCAUUGGUUUCAAAGAACAUCUUUACUUCUGCCUUCAUUUCAUUAUUUACCCAGUAGUCAUUCAGGAGCAGGUUGUUCAGUUUCUAUGUACUUGUGCGGUUUUGAGUGAGUUUCUUAAUCCUGAGUUCUAAUUUGAUUGCACUGUGGUCUGAGAGACAGUUUGUUGUGAUUUCUGUUCUUUUACAUUUG